CCUGCGGAGGGAUCAUUACCGAGUUUACAACUCCCAAACCCCUGUGAACAUACCUUAAUGUUGCCUCGGCGGAUCAGCCCGCGCCCCGUAAAACGGGACGGCCCGCCAGAGGACCCAAACUCUAAUGUUUCUUAUUGUAACUUCUGAGUAAAACAAACAAAUAAAUCAAAACUUUCAACAACGGAUCUCUUGGUUCUGGCAUCGAUGAAGAACGCAGCAAAAUGCGAUAAGUAAUGUGAAUUGCAGAAUUCAGUGAAUCAUCGAAUCUUUGAACGCACAUUGCGCCCGCUGGUAUUCCGGCGGGCAUGCCUGUUCGAGCGUCAUUUCAACCCUCAAGCCCCCGGGUUUGGUGUUGGGGAUCGGCUCUGCCUUCUGGCGGUGCCGCCCCCGAAAUACAUUGGCGGUCUCGCUGCAGCCUCCAUUGCGUAGUAGCUAACACCUCGCAACUGGAACGCGGCGCGGCCAUGCCGUAAAACCCCAACUUCUGAAUGUUGACC
rnacentral:rRNA from 1 species